rnacentral:lncRNA from 1 species
GUGUAAGAGAUUGUGGGCCAAGGUUGGGUGGAGACAGAUGGGGAAAUGCUAAUGUUUGUAAUUUUGGUGAAAAGGGGGACCCAGAGAAUAAUGGGUUCCAAGGUGGGAACUCGGGUGUGUCGAGGAUGGGAACGAAGCCAGAGACCAGAGGUACAAUUACUUCUGACACUCUUCACAGGACCACCUGACAUGGUUAAACAGCCCUGGCUUAACGUUCCAGACACUGCUGCCAAUACUUGCGGCUGUUAGUUCCUGAUUUCUGCUUAAGGCUUUGCAGUUCUGCUUAUAGUCCUGUGAUCAGAGACACUUCCUCCUGUGGCAGCUGAAUUCCACGUUUCCCGAAACAGGAUUUCCCUAUUUUGUAGAGAACUUCCAUGAUUGAAUCUUCCUGCUUCUGGAAAUAAAAUGGGUAGUCCCUUGCAUACAAAGCUUGGAGGGUGUCUCUCAUUCUUCUCUUCUUCUGCUUUUUCUCAUCUACCUGAGAAUAAUUUUAAAUGGAUCGAAGGAAUGAAUGUCAGCCACCAAACUGAGAAGUUGACUUGCCUUUAAUCACCUGUAACUUUGUUAGAAUAAUAAAUUCUGUAGAAAGCUAA